AGGAUGAACGCUAGCUACAGGCUAACACAUGCAAGUCGAGGGCAGCAUGAAGUUGCUUGCAAACUUGAUGGCGACCGGCGCACGGGUGAGUAACGCGUAUCCAACCUUCCCUAUACUAGAGGAUAGCCCGGCGAAAGUCGGAUUAAUACUCUAUGUUCUUCGUAGAAGACAUCUGAAAUGAAGCAAAGGUUUACCGGUAUAGGAUGGGGAUGCGUCUGAUUAGGUUGUUGGCGGGGUAACGGCCCACCAAGCCUACGAUCAGUAGGGGUUCUGAGAGGAAGGUCCCCCACAUUGGAACUGAGACACGGUCCAAACUCCUACGGGAGGCAGCAGUGAGGAAUAUUGGUCAAUGGACGUGAGUCUGAACCAGCCAAGUAGCGUGCAGGGAAUGACGGCCCUAUGGGUUGUAAACUGCUUUUAUGCGGGGAUAAAGUGCGCCACGUGUGGCGUUUUGUAGGUACCGCAUGAAUAAGGACCGGCUAAUUCCGUGCCAGCAGCUGC
rnacentral:rRNA from 1 species